rnacentral:ncRNA from 1 species
AAGGGAACGCGGUCCAACACCGCGGCUGUGCCCGCAACUGUAGGCGGCGAGGCCGUCAUUCGCUCCGGAGCUUCGGCUUCGGCGCCACUGGGCGACCGGGAAGGCGAGAAUGGCGGCUUUUGACCCGCAAGCCAGGAGACCU